UUUCUAGGAUGAAUAGAAGUAGCUCACCAUGACUGACAAUGAAAACGUGAACACCUGAGAAAC
rnacentral:snoRNA from 1 species